GAGCUGCUGGAUCAGUGUCUGGCACCAGACACUUCUGGGGACGGUACAGGGUGUGACAACAUGACCUGCAUCAUCAUUUGCUUCAAGCCCCGAAACACAGCAGAGCGUCAGCCAGAGAGUGGCAAGCAGAAACUGGAGGAGGUGCUUUCUACUGAGGAGGCUGAAGAAGAUGGCAGCAGUGACAACAAGAAGAAGGUCAAGCGGGACUAGCGGACUUGGUUGUCCAGACUCCUGCCCCCGAGACUGUUUCCUGAGCCCUCCGAACCUGAGACUGAGUUUUGUCUUUUUCCUUUAGCCUUAGCAGUGGUUGUGAGGUGUGCAGGGGGAACUGGGUGGCUUUACUCAGCCCAUUCCAAAGAGGGCUCACCCUCCACACAGCAGCCCGGGAGCCGCUGCUGCUCUCCCCAGCCUCCUCUUUGCUCCUUGGGGCUCAUCACUGGUUCUGUGCCUGUGCUCUGUUGUGUUGGAGGGAAGGACUGGAGGUUCUGGUUUUUACUCUGUGAACUUUAUUUAAGGACAUUCUUUUUUAUUGGCGGCUCCAUGGCCCCGGCCGCUUGCACCCGCUCUCUGUUGUACACUUUCAAUCAAACACUUUUUCAGACUAAAGGCCAAAACCUAAUCAAA